UCUUGUUUUGCUUUUUUCAUUCCUUUGAUAUUUUUGCCAUCGUUUUCUUCGUAAUCUGCUGCGUCUUUAAAUGCGUGCCGGAAGCUGGGCUGAAACGCA
rnacentral:ribozyme from 14 species